ACUUCCCCUAGAAGCACUGCAGGUGUGGCUGCUGUGUCACCCGUGCAUUAGAGGGUGGCAGAGAGGAGAGAGGCUGGGUCUACACUCAUAGUUCUGCCCUGUGAGUAUCUGAGUGAUUAGUAACCUAACACU